rnacentral:misc_RNA from 1 species
UCGUAACAAGGUUUCCGUAGGUGAACCUGCGGAAGGAUCAUUAAAAAAUACAUUACACAUUGUUUUUGCGAACAAAAAAAUAAAUUUUUUUAUUCUAACAAACUAAAUCAAAACUUUCAACAACGGAUCUCUUGGUUCUCGCAUCGAUGAAGAACGCAGCGAAUUGCGAUACGUAGUAUGACUUGCAGACGUGAAUCAUCGAAUCUUUGAACGCACAUUGCGCCUCGAGGCAUUCCUCGAGGCAUGCCUGUUUGAGCGUCGCAUCCCCUCUAACCCCCGGUUAGGCGUUGCUCCGAAAUAUCAACCGCGCUGUCAAACACGUUUACAGCACGACAUUUCGCCCUCAAAUCAGGUAGGACUACCCGCUGAACUUAAGCAUAUCAAUAA